rnacentral:rRNA from 1 species
UAAAUGCGUCUAGCAAAGUUUUAAAAAUACCACCACCUCUAGUUUUCUCCAGCAAGCUAAAAGAACAAUCCUAUUAACAUAGGAACUCCUAUGCUAAAACUACUAAUAUGGGUCCUCCUCCUAGCACAUCUUUUUCUCAUCCAUUUGACAAUUAACAGACCAAAAAAGGAAAGAAAAACGCUCUUCACUAUUCUAACCUCACUGUAAGUCCAACUCUGAUGUGCAAAAUCAAGGUCGAAAGUCUUAAAAGGAACUCGGCAAACACGAACCCCAACUGUUUACCAAAAACAUAGCCUUUAGCCACACAAGUAUUAAAGGUACUGCCUGCCCAGUGAAUUUUUUUAACGGCCGCGGUAUCCUA